rnacentral:lncRNA from 12 species
AAAACCUAACGAGUGUGUGAGCAUUUACUGGAAUGAUGAAAAUAGUGAGUCACUGUGACAGGUCUACAAGGAUGGGCUGUGUGUGGACAGCCCUUCCCUACUUCCAUAAUCCUGGGGAAGUGCUUGAAGUUGUGACUUGGAUCCAGGAGGGAGGUCCCAAAAGCAGAAGUGCUCAUGAAAUGCUGCAGGAAUCCUGCCUGGUCCCUGAACACUGGGGGUGUCCUGGGUGGAGCUGGAAAUGAACCUUGCUGCUGAAUGUGAAACUGCUGCCAUCCUUCUGAACCAAAGCAAUGCUGUGAUCCUGCACAAAGCUGAAGUGCUCUGAGCAGGGGAGGAAUUCUGUAACUCACACCCCGGAGAGAGGAACAGCUUCACCUCCCCG